rnacentral:rRNA from 1 species
CCUACGGGAGGCAGCAGUGAGGAAUAUUGGUCAAUGGACGCAAGUCUGAACCAGCCAUGCCGCGUGCAGGAUGACGGCCCUAUGGGUUGUAAACUGCUUUUUUACGGGAAGAAAACCAGCUACGUGUAGUUGUUUGCCGGUACCGUAGGAUAAGCAUCGGCUAACUCCGUGCCAGCAGCCGCGGUAAUACGGAGGAUGCAAGCGUUAUCCGGAUUUAUUGGGUUUAAAGGGUGCGUAGGUCGGAAUAGUAAGUCAGGGGUGAAAUACUGCAGCUCAACUGUAGAAUUGCCUUUGAUACUGUUAUUCUUGAGUAUAGAUGAGGUAGGCGGAAUGUGGUGUGUAGCGGUGAAUGCAUAGAUAUGCUACAGAACACCAAUAGCGAAGGCAGCUCACUAAGUUGUAACUGACACUAAUGCAGGAAAGCGUGGGGAUCAAACAGGAUUAGAUACCCCUGGUAGUCCACGCCGUAAACGAUGAUUACUGGUUGUUUGCGAUACAUUGCAAGUGACUGAGCGAAAGCAUUAAGUAAUCCACCUGGGGAGUACGUCGGAAGGUUGAAACUCAAAGGAAUUGACGG